rnacentral:misc_RNA from 1 species
AAAAAAGAACAAAAAAUAUUGAUUGAAGGAUAAUUAACAACAGCAUAAAAACAAACCACAGCUCUUAAACCAACAUUGCAUCAACUAAAGAAAAACAAACAAAAUAUAAGCAGACACAAACAUUUCAGUCCCAUUCUAGUAGGAGUCAGUUAAAAAUUGAUUAUUUUUCUCUAUAUUCUGUUAAGCUAAAGAUCAAAUUUCAAUUACAAAAUGAGCCCACUUCAAUUUUAGCCUUCCUUCUCAUUAAGACAGUGUAUAUGUGGGUCUUUCUCGGACAAAA